rnacentral:rRNA from 1 species
CGGUCAACAAAGAGAGGCGAAACCGCGAGGUGGAGCAAAUCUCAAAAAGCCGUCCCAGUUCGGAUCGCAGGCUGCAACCCGCCUGCGUGAAGUUGGAAUCGCUAGUAAUCGCGGAUCAGCAUGCCGCGGUGAAUACGUUCCCGGGCCUUGUACACACCGCCCGUCACACCAUGAGAGUCGGGAACACCCGAAGUCCGUAGCCUAACCGCAAGGGGGGCGCGGCCGAAGGUGGGUUCGAUAAUUGGGGUGAAGUCGUAACAAGGUAGC